GAUGAACGCUGGCGGCGUGCUUAACACAUGCAAGUCGAACGGUGAACACGGAGCUUGCUCUGUGGGAUCAGUGGCGAACGGGUGAGUAACACGUGAGCAACCUGCCCCUGACUCUGGGAUAAGCGCUGGAAACGGCGUCUAAUACUGGAUAUGUGACGUGACCGCAUGGUCUGCGUUUGGAAAGAUUUUUCGGUUGGGGAUGGGCUCGCGGCCUAUCAGCUUGUUGGUGAGGUAAUGGCUCACCAAGGCGUCGACGGGUAGCCGGCCUGAGAGGGUGACCGGCCACACUGGGACUGAGACACGGCCCAGACUCCUACGGGAGGCAGCAGUGGGGAAUAUUGCACAAUGGGCGCAAGCCUGAUGCAGCAACGCCGCGUGAGGGAUGACGGCCUUCGGGUUGUAAACCUCUUUUAGCGGGGAAGAAGCGAAAGUGACGGUACCUGCAGAAAAAGCGCCGGCUAACUACGCG
rnacentral:rRNA from 1 species